CCUACGGGAGGCAGCAGUGAGGAAUAUUGGUCAAUGGACGAGAGUCUGAACCAGCCAAGUAGCGUGAAGGAUGACUGCCCUAUGGGUUGUAAACUUCUUUUAUAAAGGAAUAAAACGAGGCACGUGUGCCUUUUUGCAUGUACUUUAUGAAUAAGGAUCGGCUAACUCCGUGCCAGCAGCCGCGGUAAUACGGAGGAUGCGAGCGUUAUCCGGAUUUAUUGGGUUUAAAGGGUGCGCAGGCGGAGGCACAAGUCAGCGGUAAAAUCGCGGGGCUCAACCCCGCUCCGCCGUUGAAACUGUGUCCCUUGAGUGCGCGAAGGGUAGGCGGAAUGCGUGGUGUAGCGGUGAAAUGCAUAGAUAUCACGCAGAACUCCGAUCGCGAAGGCAGCCUACCGGCGCGCAACUGACGCUCAUGCACGAAAGCGUGGGUAUCAAACAGGAUUAGAUACCCGUGUAGUC
rnacentral:rRNA from 1 species